CCGGCCCCGCGCGUGAGCCAAUAACCGCGCGCAAAGAAUUUCUCGAAGAAAAAACCACUCCUACGAGACCCCCCCUCCCGACCGUGCCGGCGCCGGAGACGAAGACGAGGACCUUGACGACGAAGGCGAGGAUAUGUGCCAGAUAAUGACGUUUCUUCUGCGGUUGCGGCUUCGUUCGUCUGAUCGAUUUCGGGGACUGGAUCGCGAGGGGAGAAGAGGCCUCAGACCGAGGCCUCCAGGAGCCGCCCGAUCAUCUAUGCCCUCUCGGAUCUGGCAGCGAUUCCGGUGGUCCUCAGUAACACCUCACCGGCGGCGAGAAGAGGUGGUGAUUGGUGAGAGUGAGAGGGAGGAUAGAGGGGGAAUUAUAUGAAUAUUGAAGCGAUUGGAGACUGUGCUUUGUUGGAUUCUACAUCCGCGAGACCUAGGAGGUGAGAGCCGUGCAGGGAUCUUUUGACCCGCAACCGCCUUCAAGCUCAAGAAGCUUUACUGGGAUCUACUGUCAGGUGAAACAGUACUAUCUCAGCCUAAAUAGCCUCAGAAUGUUGUGCAUACCAUCUAUUUCUGGACUAGAUUCACCGUGAAUGAAGGUCUACUGGGGAUAUUUGGUGAUCCCGAGAAUGCAUCCUUUCUAGAGAACAUCAGCAACUCUGGAUGCCUUAGAAAGGUUGAACCGUCAGAUAGGACGACAAUGGUUGAUGUCAAUCUGGCAAGGAGGGUAGAAAAGUGUCCUAUGGAUCCCCCUACCAACUUAAACUUUGAUCACCACUGUUUUGUCACCUCUAGUGAUAUCUUAUGGUUUCCUGUUGGCAGGAACCUGUGAAACGUCUGGCUCCAUUUCAAGUUGUAGGAAGAACUCUAGACAGUGGGUCGUCAAAUAAUUGUCUCUUAGCCUGCUGUUGCUGCUGCUAUACAAUGUACUCUUUCUUUCCCAUCCAUAGGCCUUUCUGUUGAUGCUUCUCUGCCAUCUACCUCCAUUCAGAUAAGGCUGGUGGAUGGCACUUUUGAAUAGUUGCACUACAAUCAGUGAUAUUCAAGCAUUCAUCGACACAUCAAGACCUAGAGCAGCGAGAAAUUACCAGCUACAGAUGGUUGGUUUUCCACCCAAAAAGCAUCCUGAUGAUAACAAGAUGAUUGAGGAAGCAGGGCUUGCCUAUUUGGUUCUGAUUCAAAAAUUCUAACUCUGCAUGGAACCGCUUAGGACUAUCACAUGGACUAAAGUUUUGCAAAUUGUCUUCAAACCGUCAGAUGCUCUUUAGAAUUGUUGGACCGGAUGGAGUGAAGCAUGUCAACUUUUUUCUCUUUGAGACCGGUUGUGCUAAGAUAAAUAUGUGUAUAAAUUAGCACCAAUAACCUUGGUUAUAUUUUUGUGGGCCAUGGUUUUGUGUUUUGGUAAAUGGUUUAGGCUGAUAAGUACUAUGGUGCGGAGUCUAAGUCCUUGGGUAGAUUUUUGUGCGGGGGGGCGGGGGGGGAAUCAAAUAUUAGAACUUUUCUCAGUUCUUCACCUCUCCCAGGAAUCUGGAUGGUCGGGUUCAGAACUCUGUCAAGAAAUUCAUUCAUUUGGCAGGAAGCCUCUGGAUUUAAGCUGAGUAGUUUGUUGGAUGCAGGUUCCUCUGCUGCCAUAUGGAAAGGACAACUAAUGUUGGAUAUGAGUAAUGAUAUGUGACAGAAUCUUCAUCUUGGUCUUCUUUUUUAUCUCCUGCUGUCUGCUUGUGCAAUGCAUCCAGAGGCUGCAGGAACCCACCAAGUAAGGACGUUUUUGCUUGUAUAUUUUCAUGUACUUGUAUUUCCACAUGCACUUCUGUGAAAUUUUUCUCUGUGCAUUUGAUCUUUCAUUUUGUAAGUGCUACAAAAUUGACUGUUUUAGCUGCAUAUAAUUUGAGUACCCAUUUUUUUUUU